GAUCAUGGCUCAGGAUGAACGCUGGCGGCGUGCCUAACACAUGCAAGUCGAACGAAGCUCCUGCGACAGAUUCCUUCGGGAUGAAGAUGCUUGAGACUUAGUGGCGGACGGGUGAGUAACGCGUGGGUAACCUGCCCUGUACUGGGGGACAACAGUUAGAAAUGACUGCUAAUACCGCAUAAGCCUACGGAGUCGCAUGACUCAGCAGGAAAAAUUCCGGUGGUACAGGAUGGG
rnacentral:rRNA from 1 species